rnacentral:tRNA from 1 species
AGGAGUAUAGCUCAGUAGGUAGAGCGGCGGUCUCCAAAACCGCAUGCCGAGGGUUCGAGUCCUUCUACUCCUGCCA